rnacentral:lncRNA from 1 species
GUAUUAUUUUAAACUUAAUCCUGAUCCAUGUAAACCUUUGGCAUUUAUCCUUAUUCCGACUAUGGCAAUUCUUGGAAAUACUUACACUGUUUCAAUAAAAUCAAGGGUCUUCAUUGAGUCUUGAUGCACUUUAAACCCAGCUGGCUACCAGAGAUGCGAAGGUGGGCUCUUUGAAGAUUAGCAAAAUGGACGUUUCUGUCACUUGAGAAAAGGAAAGUUCUUUGCCUUUAAAUUACACAGUUUUCAUCAUGCCCACAAUCUAUAUUAUUGGCUGGUUAAACAGCACUGCCCUAUUAGCAAUGUUAACAAAAAUGAAAUUAUUUAUUGGCGGUUAUAGAUUAUCUAAUUCAGGAAAUUUCUGAGCUCAACUUUUACAGCAACUGUUAUGCCUUCUAAUUUAGCAAUUGAGUUAUGAGUAAGUUUUGUGCUUAACUCCUAGACCCUAUUGUUGAUAACCAGAUCAAAUAUAGUCUGUACAGAGGAAAACACUGGGAACAUUUAGUAUUUCUAAAGCCUCCUUUGGAGUUACUACUGAUUGUAAUUUGGAACUGAUAAUAGGUAGAGAUUGCUAACACUGUUUUUUUUCCUGGAUCUUUUUUAUGCCAGAAAUUAAACAGGUUCUGCUAACUCUUUUUUUUCUCUUGGUUAUCACCAGAAUGAAAAUAUUUAAAGUGAUGACUCUAGAAAAGCCAUCUGUGCCUGGUUAACAUUGAGUUUGAGUCUCUUCAAUAUAUAUUGAUCAUGUAUUGAUUAAUCUUUAUUUU